rnacentral:rRNA from 1 species
GAUGAACGCUGGCGGCGUGCCUAAUACAUGCAAGUCGAGCGAACGGACGAGAAGCUUGCUUCUCUGAUGUUAGCGGCGGACGGGUGAGUAACACGUGGAUAACCUACCUAUAAGACUGGGAUAACUUCGGGAAACCGGAGCUAAUACCGGAUAAUAUUUUGAACCGCAUGGUUCAAAAGUGAAAGAAGGUCUUGCUGUCACUUAUAGAUGGAUCCGCGCUGCAUUAGCUAGUUGGUAAGGUAACGGCUUACCAAGGCAACGAUGCAUAGCCGACCUGAGAGGGUGAUCGGCCACACUGGAACUGAGACGCGGUCCAGACUCCUACGGGAGGCAGCAGUAGGGAAUCUUCCGCAAUGGGCGAAAGCCUGACGGAGCAACGCCGCGUGAGUGAUGAAGGUCUUCGGAUCGUAAAACUCUGUUAUUAGGGAAGAACAUAUGUGUAAGUAACUGUGCACAUCUUGACGGUACCUAAUCAGAAAGCCACGGCUAACUACGUG